rnacentral:lncRNA from 1 species
CCUUGUUUAUGAAAUUGCAUUGGAAAAGAAUUUAUUUUAUUAAGAUAUAUUUGUUUCCCCCAAUUUAGGUUCUCCAAGACCUAAUAAUAACAGAUUCCUGUACAGGUUUUGUGUAAACAAUUCUUUAAAACAUGACCUGGUUUAUUUAUGUGUAAAUAGAUGUUUUAUGUUUUAUGAAGUACUUAACUUAGUCUUUCCCUUUUUUUAAAUUAAAGAGUAGCAAUGCAUUAUGCACGCAGUUAAAUUUCAAUGCAUUUUUUUUAUCUCCCAAAUCAACAUACCUGUAAACACGAAAAAAUAUCCGAGAUUCCUGUCCCUACCCAGUUUGAUUUGUAGUCUUCAUUCAAGGCUGUAAUAUUGCUCUCUAUUUCCUAGGUUUGAAGCACCAGCCAUGGCAAUAUUGAGGCAAGUCUCAAACGGUUUUCUGGUAACUUCUGCUCACAUGUGUUUUUACACAUGUGCAUACAUUCCAGCUAUUGGCUCAGUGCGCCAACAAAAGAGGGCGCCCCUUUACCUAGCAAUGACGUCCCAUGGGGGGACAUUUCGCUGGUUGACACGCACCGUUUCCUUGUGUGUGACGCAUGUACACCAGGGGAUUUGUACUAUGUACAUGCAGUGGCUGCGCUUUGUGCUUCUCGGCAAAAUUGCAGUCAGGCAAGAUGGCGUCGGUUGGCCACCCCCAACUGCACUUUAUUUGCCGGUGAGGGGGUACUUGUGAAUGGAGCAGAUAGGCCAAAAAUUGUUGCCCUGUAUUUUGAUUGCUAAAAGUUCAGAGUAUUUGUUUGCUUCUGUACAAACACCUGGUAUGGCUAUUCCAAACAGUUAGCGCAAUGUGAAUGCAUGGUAUGUUUCAAUUUGUUGGGGAAAGCUGUACCCAAAUCGUAGAAAUGGGAAUUAAAACUAUGGCAAGCCAUUAUGGCAUACAGUCAACUUGCCUUCCCUACCCAUUGCUUUCUCCGUUUUUCCUUGUAAAAGUCUUGCCCGUCCUUAACCACUAUUGAAUGCAACAGUUGUAGUUUUAACCAACAUAUCUGAAACCUGUUUAAAAUAGCAUUGAUAAAUACAUAAUUGUAGACAGGGUUUCGUAAGGUGUCAAAUUUCAGAGCAAUAUAGUACUUAGUCACUUGUUUGUUUUUGUACGCCCGACUUUGUUAAAAACCCAAAGUUUGCUGAGAGUUGCAUGUAGGUUGCACUUUUUCAGAACCUUUUGUUUUAUUACAAGAAAAUAAUGAGUUCUUGUGUGAAGUUGAUUAGAACAUGUGCAUGCUUUUGAAUAUUUAUGGUCGGAAAAAAAAAGAACGGAGGAAAAUAUUUUGGCUGUCAAAGAAGGCCAAGAUUGUAUUGCAUACUUUUAUGCCCUUCAAUGCACAUGAUUAACUUGCAGGGAAAACAUAUUUGUGGGACAGUUGGCAUGUAUCAAGUUUCUUAACUUUUUGUCUUUUACCAUGUUUACUUCAUGAAAAAUGUGGACAUUUUACCAAAACACUGAACCACCUCUAUAUGCAUUUUGUAUCAAGUUAGCCAAAGCAUAGUAUUAUGAAAUGUUUCAUACAUGUAUUCUGAUAGAUUGUGUACUAAACAUAAUUUGCUUUAACACCUUGAGAUUUUUGUGUAAUUUACCAAUGUGGCAGUAGGCAAUGUCACCCAAUUGUUCUUUUACGAAUAGAGAGUAAUAAUAAAUUGUCUCGCACUUUACGAAAUACCC